rnacentral:rRNA from 1 species
AUUGAACGCUGGCGGCAUGCCUUACACAUGCAAGUCGAACGGCAGCACAGUAAGAGCUUGCUCUUACGGGUGGCGAGUGGCGGACGGGUGAGGAAUACAUCGGAAUCUACUUUUUCGUGGGGGAUAACGUAGGGAAACUUACGCUAAUACCGCAUACGACCUACGGGUGAAAGCAGGGGACCUUCGGGCCUUGCGCGAUUGAAUGAGCCGAUGUCGGAUUAGCUGGUUGGCGGGGUAAAGGCCCACCAAGGCGACGAUCCGUAGCUGGUCUGAGAGGAUGAUCAGCCACACUGGAACUGAGACACGGUCCAGACUCCUACGGGAGGCAGCAGUGGGGAAUAUUGGACAAUGGGCGCAAGCCUGAUCCAGCCAUACCGCGUGGGUGAAGAAGGCCUUCGGGUUGUAAAGCCCUUUUGUUGGGAAAGAAAUCCAGCCGGCUAAUACCUGGUUGGGAUGACGGUACCCAAAGAAUAAGCACCGGCUAACUUCGUGCCAGCCGCCGCAGUAAUAC